rnacentral:rRNA from 1 species
UACAGAGGGUGCAAACGUUGCUCGGAAUUAUUGGGCGUAAAGCGCAUGUAGGCGGCACGGUAAGUCGACUGUGAAAGCCCUUGGCUCAACCAAGGAAGUGCAGUCGAAACUGCCGAGCUCGAGUUCUGAAGAGGGUCGCGGAAUGGCCAGUGUAGAGGUGAAAUUCGUAGAUAUUGGCUAGAACACCAGUGGCGAAGGCGGCGACCUGGGAAGAUACUGACGCUGAGAUGCGAAAGCGUGGGGAGCAAACAGG